GAUGAACGCUAGCUACAGGCUUAACACAUGCAAGUCGAGGGGAAACGACAUCGAAAGCUUGCUUUUGAUGGGCGUCGACCGGCGCACGGGUGAGUAACGCGUAUCCAACCUGCCCACCACUUGGGGAUAACCUUGCGAAAGUAAGACUAAUACCCAAUGACGUCUCUAGAAGACAUCUGAAGGAGAUUAAAGAUUUAUCGGUGAUGGAUGGGGAUGCGUCUGAUUAGCUUGUUGGCGGGGUAACGGCCCACCAAGGCGACGAUCAGUAGGGGUUCUGAGAGGAAGGUCCCCACAUUGGAACUGAGACACGGUCCAAACUCCUACGGGAGGCAGCAGUGAGGAAUAUUGGUCAAUGAACGAGAGUAUGAACCAGCCAAGUAGCGUGCAGGAUGACGGCCCUAUGGGUUGUAAACUGCUUUUAUAAGGGAAUAAAGUGAGUCUCGUGAGACUUUUUGCAUGUACCUUAUGAAUAAGGACCGGCUAAUUCCGUGUCAGCCGCCGCAGUAA
rnacentral:rRNA from 1 species